UCCUAGGUGUUAUCAAAAGGUCUCAUCAAAUUAUUUUAUGUAGAAGAGCACCCAAAUGUUAUUUCUUGCUGUUCCUCUUCUUUUCCUCAAGAGAAAGAAGGUUGAAAACUGAAAAUGAUGAAGUUGAAGAAUGAAGUCAAUGAGUGUUAAGAAGAGAUUCAUUUAUCCUUGAGAAAUGAAAAAGUAGAGUGCUGGUGGUGAU
rnacentral:lncRNA from 10 species